ACCACUCUGGUCACUUUGGAUAUCUAACUACGAACCGUGAUCCGGUUCUGGGACAGUGCCUGGUGGGUAGUUUAACUGGGGCGGUUGCCUCCUAAAGAGUAACGGAGGCGCCCAAAGGUUCCCUCAGCCUGGUUGGCAAUCAGGUGUCGAGUGUAAGUGCACAAGGGAGCUUGACUGUGAGAGUGACAGCUCGAGCAGGGACGAAAGUCGGGACUAGUGAUCCGGCGGCACCUCGUGGAAGGGCCGUCGCUCAACGGAUAAAAGGUACCUCGGGGAUAACAGGCUGAUCUUGCCCAAGAGUCCAUAUCGACGGCAUGGUUUGGCACCUCGAUGUCGGCUCGUCGCAUCCUGGGGCUGGAGUAGGUCCCAAGGGUUGGGCUGUUCGCCCAUUAAAGCGGUACGCGAGCUGGGUUUAGAACGUCGUGAGACAGUUCGGUCCCUAUCCGCUGCGCGCGUUGGAAAUUUGAGAAGGGCUGUCCUUAGUACGAGAGGACCGGGACGGACAAACCUCUGGUGUGUCAGUUGUACUGCCAAGUGCACCGCUGAUUAGCUACGUUUGGAAGGGAUAACCGCUGAAAGCAUCUAAGCGGGAAGCC
rnacentral:rRNA from 16 species